GAAAAAAUUAGAACUACCAGAGAAUAGUACUAAAUUGCAAUACGAUUAAAAAUAUAAAAUUUUUCCGUUAUAGAUUCGAAAAAUACAUUCGCAUUUCACAACUUCUUUAUCUAGUGCGCAUAAAGAAAAGUGUUCGGAUCUAGAAGUGAACCUCUCCUCUAAUUAACGAACCCCGGGGAAUGCGAUAAAAACGGGUGUGAGCCAAAAAAAAAAAAAAAAUACAAUGAAGAUAAAAUUCAAUAUAAUUCGAUUUUGCACAGUUUUAGUGCAGCAUACCCUAUGCUAAUGGUGUCAUAUGCCCUUUUUAUAGUUUAUUCAGACAUCUUAUUUAUUUUCCGAAAUGUUAGUUUACGUAUUAGUACGAAUAUGAAAGCAGAAAUAAAAGUCGAUGAUUAGAAACAAAAAUACGACAGCAAUAAAAAAUUCUAUUUCUCA